rnacentral:tRNA from 1 species
CGGGGCGUAGCGCAGUUGGCAGCGUACUUGAAUGGGGUUCAAGUGGUCGCCAGUUCGAGUCUGGCCGCCCCGACC